rnacentral:rRNA from 1 species
AUGGAUAAUGCCCCCAAAACCAUUACCAAUGUUGUGCGGUCAGUGCAGCUGGUCAAGGUCGACGGCUUCAGCUUGACCCGGACCAUGGGCGACAACGAUUGCAUCAAAUACAGAUGGAGUUUCGAUGGGUACGAUUGGGAAAUCCGGGUCUAUCCUAAUUGCUGGAGCUACUCUGUAAGAGUGGAUCUUGCCUUUCUCAGCAAACCCCGCAGGGCCAGUGUGAAGCGUGCCUUUCUCAGAAAAGCCCGCAGGGGCAGUGUGAGGGUCGCUCUUAGCUGCCGGCUGGUCGAUCCGACAGGGAACCUUGAGCCAUCCAACGAACGUAGGAAUCAGGGGGUGUUCAGCCAUCCCAAAGAGUUCUUCUCUAUAUUAUCGAUCAUGGGAAGAAGUGAGCUAGAAACGUCAGGUUAUCUAAGGGGUGAUUCUUUCACUCUGCAAUGCAUUGUUAACGUCCUCAAGGAGCUGCCUGAUUCUGCGACAUACCCUGUCGAAGAAGCGCCAGUGCCAUCGCCAGACCUGCACCGGCACCUCGCUGAGCUCCUGCAGAGCAAUACGGGAGCCGAUGCCACAUUUCUCGUGUCUGGCAAGUCUUUUGCUGCACACAAGCUCAUCCUCGCGGCAAGGUACCCCGUCUUCAUGGCCGAGUUCUUUGGAGACAUGAAGGAGAAGUGUGCGGCCCGCGUGGAGAUCAAGGACAUGCAGGCUGCAGUAUUCAAGGCGCUGCUUCACUUCAUCUACACUGAUACUGUGGCUGAAUUCACCGAGAAGGGCGAGGAAGUGACAGUGUUAGCUCAGCACUUGCUUGCAGCUGCUGAUAGAUACGGACUGGAUAGGCUCAAGCUGAUUUGCGAAGGCAAGCUCUCUGGUGGCAUCAAUGUUGACACAGCAGCGACAUCUCUGGCUCUAGCCGAGCAGCACAACUGUCCACAGCUCAAGGCGAAGUGCGUCCAGUUCAUCAUUAGAAAUCGUGAAGUUCUUGACGCUGUGUUGGCGUCGGAGGGGUACAAGUACCUGGCGGCAACCUGCCCUUUGGUGCUGGCUGACCUUCUCAAGUUAAGUCUGCGUGUGGGGGAAAGCAGUGAUGCAUAG